GAUGAACGCUAGCGGCAGGCUUAAUACAUGCAAGUCGAACGGUAAGUAGUGUAGCAAUACAUUACCAAGAGUGACGUACGGGUGCGUAACACGUAUGCAACCUACCUUGUACAGGAGUAUAGCUCGGGGAAACUCGAAUUAACCCUCCAUAAGAUCGUGGUGUGGCAUCACACAGCGAUAAAAACUCAGGUGGUACAAGCUGGGCAUGCGUCUGAUUAGAGUUGGCGGGGUAACGGCCCACCAAGACGAUGAUCAGUAGGGGAACUGAGAGGUUGAUCCCCCACACUGGCACUGAGAUACGGGCCAGACUCCUACGGGAGGCAGCAGUAGGGAAUAUUGGUCAAUGGAUGCAAGUCU
rnacentral:rRNA from 1 species